UUCCGUCACAAUUUAGGGUCUAGGUUUCCAUAAAAUCGUGUGCUAUAGCUCACGGGUGGCAAAAAAAUGCCAUAACGGCCUCCCCGGUCUAAAACGAAGGUGGCAGGUCGGAUACAUAAAAUUGGCUGUUUGGCCACGGAAAUGUGUGAUAUAGCUCGCGGGAGGCCAAGAACCGCUUUAAGGUGCUCCGGGGAGAAAAACACGUGUGGAGGAACACGGGCAUAAAAAUGGUCGCUCGGCCAUGAAAACGUGUGCUAUAGCUCACGGGAGGCCAAAACAACCUUACCAGUCUCUAUGGUCAAAUAAUGGGUGGCGGUCGGGAGGCACGAAAUCGCUGUUCGACGACAAAAACAUGUGUCACGGGAGGCCAAAAUAGCCUUACGGGCCGCCGGGGACUAAAACGUGUACUAUGGUUCGGACACUAAAAUUCUACCAUGCCUGCAAGCUUACUAUGGUUUGGAGACUCAAACUUCAUUUUACUAUGGUUUGGACACUAAAACCUUUUAGUGUCGGUGUUUAAGGUUAGGGUUUAGGGAUUGGAUCUUGGGUCUAGGUUACCAUAAAAACAUGUGCUAUAGCUCACUUGUGGCAAAAAAAUGUCGUAACGGCCUCUCCGAUCUAAAAUGUAGGUGGCAGAUCGGAUGAGGCCAUAAUCAGCCUUAGCAGUCUCAGUGGCCAAAUCAUGGGUGGCGGACGGGAGGCAUGAAAUCGUCGUUUGACGAUGAAAACAUGUGUCACUGCACGGGAGGCCAAAAAUAGCCUUACCGGCCUCCGGGGACCAAAACGUGUACUAUGGUUUGGACACUAAAAUUCUACUAUGUCAGCAAAGUUGAUAAGGUUGGGAGACUCAAUUUCAUUUUACCAUGGUUUCAACACUAAAAUCCUUUAGUGUUGAUGUUUAGGUUUAGGGAUAGGAUUUAGGGUCUAGGUUUCCAUAAAAUCGUGUGCUAUAGCUCAUGGGUGGCAAAAAAAUGCCAUAACGGCCUCCCCGGUCUAAAACGAAGGUGGCAGGUCGGAUACAUAAAAUUGGCUGUUUGGCCACGGAAAUGUGUGAUAUAGCUCGCGGGAGGCCAAGAACCGCUUUAAGGUGCUCCGGGGAGAAAAACACGUGUGGAGGAACACGAGCAUAAAAAUGGUCGCUCGGCCAUGAAAACGUGUGCUAUAGCUCACGGGAGGCCAAAACAACCUUACCAGUCUCUAUGGUCAAAUAAUGGGUGGCGGUCGGGAGGCACGAAAUCGCUGUUCGACGACAAAGACAUGUGUCACGGGAGGCCAAAAUAGCCUUACGGGCCGCCGGGGACUAAAACGUGUACUAUGGUUCGGACACUAAAAUUCUACCAUGCCUGCAAGCUUACUAUGGUUUGGAGACUCAAACUUCAUUUUACUAUGGUUUGGACACUAAAACCUUUUAGUGUCGGUGUUUAAGGUUAGGGUUUAGGGAUUGGAUCUUGGGUCUAGGUUACCAUAAAAACAUGUGCUAUAGCUCACUUGUGGCAAAAAAUGUCGUAACGACCUCUCCGAUCUAAAAUGUAGGUGGCAGGUCGGAUGAGGCCAUAAUCAGCCUUAGCAGUCUCAGUGGCCAAAUCAUGGGUGGCGGACGGGAGGCAUGAAAUCGUCGUUUGACGAUGAAAACAUGUGUCACGGGAGGCCAAAAAUAGCCUUACCGGCCUCCGGGGACCAAAACGUGUACUAUGGUUUGGACACUAAAAUUCUACUAUGUCAGCAAAGUUGAUAAG
rnacentral:lncRNA from 1 species